rnacentral:tRNA from 1 species
GCCGAGAUAGCUCAGCUGGUAGAGCAGCCGCUUCGUAAGCGGCAGGUCGUGGGUUCGAAUCCCAUUCUCGGCU